CCUCUCCCAAAGCUGUAUGCUCCGGCCAAGAGGAUGCCCUUCCCCACAUAGAGGAGGACUGUUCUUCCUGCAAGGUAUUCCAGUAGCCAUCCCCCCAACACUUCGAGAACCUCCAAACAAGCUCUCAAGAAUUACAAAGUUUCAAAGUUGCAUGAU
rnacentral:sRNA from 1 species